AACGAACGCUGGCGGCAGGCCUAACACAUGCAAGUCGAACGUGAAGCCACCUUCGGGUGGUGGAAAGUGGCAGACGGGUGAGUAACGCGUGGGAAUCUACCCAAUGGUACGGAAUAACUCAGGGAAACUUGAGCUAAUACCGUAUGUGCCCGAAAGGGGAAAGAUUUAUCGCCAUUGGAUGAGCCCGCGUCUGAUUAGCUAGUUGGUGGGGUAAUGGCCCACCAAGGCGACGAUCAGAGCUGGUCUGAGAGGAUGAUCAGCCACACUGGGACUGAGACACGGCCCAGACUCCUACGGGAGGCAGCAGUGGGGAAUAUUGGACAAUGGGCGCAAGCCUGAUCCAGCCAUG
rnacentral:rRNA from 1 species